GGGGAUUUAGCUCAGCGGCCUAAGCACCUGUCUUGCAAGCAGGCGGUUGUGAGUUCAAUCCCUG
rnacentral:tRNA from 1 species